CUCCGCUUGGUGUAGUUGGUUCAUCACGUUCGACUGUAAUAGCAAUUGUUAUCGAAAGGUCCCUAGUAAGUACUUGCCACAGCCUUCAACUCAAGGCUUGGUUCUAACACCCGUGAUAGGUUCGAUUCUGGGAGCGGAGA